rnacentral:rRNA from 1 species
UUUAGUAAUUGCGAAUGAACAAGGAUAUGCUUAGCUUGACAAAUGGAGCUAUUGGCUUUGAAUUGUAUUGUGGAAAUGUAUUACCAACAGAGGUGCAGGUGCCAGCCUAUUGAAAUAAAGCGUCAAUGAGGGUGAGAAUCCUGUUUGUCAUGUGCAGCCCUUUGUGCACGGUGUAUAUUUGCUGAGUCACACUCCUUGGCAUUGGAAUGCAAAGUGGGUGGUAAGUUUCAUGUAAAGGUAAACAUGCAAUUGAGACUGAUAGCACACAAGUACCAUGAGGGAAAUAUGAAAAGGACUUUGAAAAGAGAAUUAAAUGAGUUUGUAUUUGCUGAACACAAAGUAAACAGACUUGAUUUGCUUGGUGGGAGUGUUGCACUUGCUUGACAAGAGCUUUGGGCUGUGGGUGUAAUGAUUCUUUCUUUGCAUGCCAGUUUCUAUUUGUACAUCUGAUUACCUUUGCACAUGAAUGAUAAGUCUCCUGUGGGGGGUGGAUUGCAUGUGCAUGUAAUGAUUUGUGUUUUGAUAAAUGUGUCUGGUGUAUGUGUGUGUUCCUGUGCUUGGGGAUGCUUCCUUCCUUGGACUUACAAGCCCUGACACACACAUGCUGGCAAAAUGCUUCUGCUUGACCCGUCUUGAAACACGGACCAAGGAGUCUAACAGAUGUGCAAAGUUUGAAGGUGGUAUACCUUUGUGUGCAAUGAAAGUGUCAGCUGGGAUAUGUGCACCAGCACCCAAUUAAUUAGCGGACAGAGGUUUGAGUUGGAGCAUAUCUAUUAGGACCCGAAAGAUGGUGAACUAUGCCUGAACAGAAUGAAUUCAGAGGAAACUCUGAUGGAGGUUCGUAUCGAUACUGACGUGCAAAUCGUUCGUCAUAUUUGGGUAUAGGGGCGAAAGACUAAUCGAACCAUCUAGUAGCUGGUUCCCUCCGAAGUUUCCCUCAGGAUAGCUGGAGUUGCUCAGUUUUAUCAGGUAAAGCGAAUGAUUAGAGGAAUUGGGGACAGGUUUGUCUUUGACCUAUUCUCAAACUUUAAAUGGGUAAUAUGUAGUGGUUGCUGUAUGGAACUUCUAAGAUAAAUGGCAAUAUUGGGUGGGCCAUUUUUGGUAAGCAGAACUGGCGAUGAGGGAUGAACCU